UACGAAGGGGGCUAGCGUUGCUCGGAAUCACUGGGCGUAAAGCGCACGUAGGCGGCUUUUUAAGUCGGGGGUGAAAUCCUGGAGCUCAACUCCAGAACUGCCUUUGAUACUGAGAAGCUCGAGUCCGGGAGAGGUGAGUGGAACUGCGAGUGUAGAGGUGAAAUUCGUAGAUAUUCGCAAGAACACCAGUGGCGAAGGCGGCUCACUGGCCCGGUACUGACGCUGAGGUGCGAAAGCGUGGGGAGCAAACAGG
rnacentral:rRNA from 1 species